UCUGCUUCCAAGAACCGAUCCUGUCUCUGCUUUCAUUCUCCGGUUUCAAAUCUGCGGUCAGAGCCACAGCUGAGCCUUUCGCUAGAGACCAGAGAAUUUACCCUGACGACGGUGUUAGGAAAAGUUGCCUGGGGCGGAAGAGUGGGGCGGGGCGGGUCUCAGGGAAGGGGGCAGGGGAGGUGCCCGGGGUGUCCACCAGGGGAUUGGCAGCCACGUUUCAGGGACAGGCGGCCUAGCUCGGCGGCCCUGGGCCGGUCUCACUCAGGCUGCAACGUUGCCCGGUGGCCACGGGAUCCUGAGCAUAGAAGAAGACGGUCCACUAGGACCCCAGAUCACGGGGCUGACUUCCCGGACCUUCGGUUACUCUUCGACUGCCUCCAGCGCCGGGUAGGAAUUGGAUCUUCUCCGCCAACUCAGAGCAGGCCGCCCGGUGAGCUCCCGGACAGGUGACUUGCUGGAGGGAGUUGAGCAUAUCUUCUGCCCUUCCAAACCUCAGUUUCCCUUGGUGGAAAACAGCAUCUGCUCCAUGAGAAUUUCCAAACAUGUCCCAGAAACCUAGAGCAAUGUGAUGUGCAGUCCAGUCAGCACAUCUGGUAAGGGACACUCACUGUGUUCUCUGGUCACAGUGCUGCAGUGCGUGACGGUGUGUGUGUGUGUGUGUGUGUGUGUGUGUGACGGCUCUUCCAUUCUCCUAGUAAAGAUGUUUUCUUAACUAUGGCAGCCUCUUCAGCUCUGAAGACUGGUAACAGUUCUUGGGUCCUCUCUAAUAUCUAUCUUUCUCCCUCCCUCCCUCUCUCCCUCCCUCUCUCCCUUCCUCCCUCCCUCCCUCUCUCCCUCCCUUCCUAUUUGGCCAUAUUGCAGGUUACCUAGGGCCUGGGAGGCAAACUCUCUCCUGGGCUCCAGCCCUGGCACCCACUCUUGUGUUUUGUUAUUUAGGUUUUAGGGGCCGGAUGUGGUGGCACACACCUUUAAUCCCAGCACUUGGGAGGCAGAGGCAGGAGAAUUUAUUUCUGAGUUCAAGGCCAGCCUGGUCUACAGAGUGAGUUCCAGGACAGCCAGGACUAUACAGAGAAACCCUGGCUCCAAAAACAAAAAGAAAAAGAAAAGAAAAAAAGACUUAGUUUUAGGCAGUCCAGGCCUCACAUUUGCUUUGUAGCCAAGGAUGUCUUUGAACUUCUGACCCUCGUAGCUCUAAGUGCCGGGGUCACAGGUGUGCUCUUUCAUGCCUGGUUUAUGCAGUGCUGGAGAUCACUCCCAGAGCUUUGUGACUGCUGGGCAGUUGCUCCACCAACCCUGCAGCCCAGCCCUCUUCUUACUUCCUUCCUUCCCUUCUUCUUAUGUAUCUUUUGUCCCCCAUAAUCUAGUCUCACUUGAUCACUUGGUAAC
rnacentral:lncRNA from 1 species